GACGGAGAACCUCAAACGCCAGAGGAAGGAGAAAUUAUUGACGAUGUUCCUGUGCUGCUUGAUUAAUAAAUAUGUAGCACAACAACGAGAGACAUGAUAAUUACCUAUUCCCAUACUGAGCAUUGAUUACAUUGGGGACAAAGUUACUCUAGGCGUGUUGGUGUUCUCAUGGCUGAGAAUGCUAGUUAUGUAAUUGAAUUGGAUUCUAAACCACGCAAGGUUCAAGUAAGUCGAAAGCAUAAGAGCAGCAAUGAUUACUAUGCGAGUGAUUUGCAGGUUGAAAGAAAACCCGGAAAGAGGCAUAGGGUCUCAUCUUCUCAGAAUGAAGUUAAUGAGUCACAUAGAGGAAGAUGGCAAUCCGAAAGCAUUUUGGAGGAGUAUGCAUAUGAGAUGGAAAGGGAAGUAUAUAC